GAGAGAGAGAGAGAGAGAGGGGUUGAUGCAGAAGGUCGGGGUCUUGGGUUUGUUUUAUAGAGGCUUUUCACUAAACUAGGACGGAGGGUAAAUGGGCUUUUGGGGCUGGUAUCACCGACCCGGCCCAAUAAAAAGUCCAUAUAAAGGGUGACCCUUGUAGUCAUCGGAGAGGUUGAAGAAGAUAAGGGAAGGUGGAAAAUGGAGAAGUACUUUGGGAAUGCGUAUAGAGGAGACCCGGGGGUCCCACACGCCGACCCGGAGAGGUUCGUGAACAUAUGGAUCGGGUCGGCUGCCUUCUCUGUGAUGACCUUGUUCAAUCCCUACAUUUGGCAGCUCAACCAUCAGUUCAAGUAUGUGUCUUUUUUUUCUUUUUCUUUUUUUUGAGUUUGAGUUUUGAGUUUUUGGAUGUGUGCCCAGUUUGUGAUUUAGGUCAAUUAUUUGAGUUGGGUGAUACCCAGUUUGGGAUUGUGUUGAUUUAGUGUUUUGGGUCAUUUGAAACGGUUGCAGUUGGCAUGACAAGGCAAUGCUGUUUGAGCAGCAUCACUGGAGGAGGGCAAAGAAGAAAAAGCAGCCCUAUAAGUUUAUGGUAUGUUAUGUGAUUCGGGUGUUUGCGACUUAAAGGUUCAAUCUUUAUUGGUGUUUGUUGUGCAAGACAUUGAGGAUUUUGGUGGGUUUAUAUUGCUGGUGAAAUUGAUCGAUAGGUUUGAUGACAUUUUUGUUUUGUUGCAGUGGAAUGAGUGCAUGGACAGGGAGGACAGAGAUGCCUACUAUCUCAACUGGCCGAUUUAUUUCCCUUAGCUGUUUCUGGGGAUGAUCUUGUUUAUGGUAUUUUCACUGUUAUGUCAUUUUGCUGAGCUGAAACUGUUGUAGACUGAAGGUGGUAUGGUUUUUCAUGCUUUUGUUGUACUGGAAAGCUUAAAUCUAAUCUGAUCAUUUUCAGUUGUCUUUGAAUUUUAUGUCUGAUGUUUUCCUUGCUAAUAUCAGCUAUUUCUGCUGUUUUAACAAUUUGACAUUAAAUCAACUGCAAAUUUGAGAUGUUGAUUGGUUGGUUUUACACUGUUGAUUCAUGAAUUUAUUUAUAUCAUGUAAUACUCAGCGAAACAUUAUUGUCACCGACAACACUAAAUUUGUGUUCAUCAGAAGGCAAGAAUGCGUAUCUAUUCUCCUACUGUUAGAAUGAAUCCUGGUAGUUUCAUAAGUUGGCUAAUGGUAUGAAAAAUAUGAGGUGUGCAAACAGUCUUGAUUUCUAGAUUCUGUUAGGCUAUUUUUCUUGGAGAACUUUACUAGCUGAGCUGCAACAGGACUCAGCUUCUUUCAUUGCUUUAAAUGUUAGUAUCAGAAGUCUUGGUAAAUCGUGUGGUCUUGUGAUCCUCAAGUUAAAGUUGUGUUCUUGAAAUGGUAUUGUUAUUUUGGAGAAGGCUUUCCAGUGUCAUUUGAGUCUUCAGGCUUGGUUGUGCCACUGAGUUUGGCAGCCUACAGGAACUCUUACUUUGAAUUGAUUGUUAUUCAAGGAGUCUAAUAUAGCAGAGCUAUUGGCUUGUAGCUUUCUCAACUUGACUCCUAAUUUCUGCCAAGCAAGCCUUUACAGAUUCCGGUCCUAGUUUCUUCAAAUCAUUCCUUUGCAGGAAAAAAUUUACAGUACAAAAAUAUCUAUGACAUACAUCCAAUUACCAUCUCUAAGACGUUGUGUGGAUCUCACUUGAAUGAUAGCAUAUUUUAUCCUUGUGUGUACCUCAUUUACUCUCUGAAGAUCUUUUCCUUCAUACUGGGAAUUAAUUGGUAAUAGCAGUUUUAUCCAUUGAACUUUAGGCUUAAUGCUCACAACAUUUUAACAAGAACAUUUUAGCAUAUUUGAACUCUUUUACACUGGAAAAAAAAAAAAUGGGAACAACCGAAAGUGACCAAUAGGAUACUUGAACCUCCGGAAGUAGUUCACGGCGAUAUUUCUAUCAGUUUUCCGUCAAUGACUUUUUAAAGUUGAGUAUAUAACACAUCAUACGUGACUUAUAUCAUGAAUUAACACUCUUCACUUGGAGUCUCUGAAGUUCAACCUCAGAAAAAAUAAAUUAGGAGAAUAGCAGAGCUGCUCCCUUAGGGGUGAAUGACACAAGUGAAAUUUGUCGACCUAGAAAAAUUACACAAUUUCAAUAAUUAUAUAUUAUAUAAGUAUAAGAAAUUGAGAGAUAAACAGAAAUAUAUCCAAUUAUAUCCCCUUAUCCAAAACAUUUCAUUAUCCUGAGAACCAUUUUUGCAGCUGCCAAAGCCAGGAAACAAUGGCAUUUCUCCUUCCUCCGUGUUCAUCUUCCACUUCCCAAACAACCUCAACCAUUACAUCCUCGUCAAAUCUCUCUUCAACUCUAACUCCAUCCAAAUCCAGCAACGACUGGAUUUCGAAAUUUCGCUCCAAAUCUUUGAGUUUCGCGCUCUCCGGAGCUCUCACACUCGGAUUAUCUCUCUCAGGCAAGUCUUCUCGUUUUUCUUCAGUUGCAUGCAAGAUCAAAUAUUAGCAUGCUGAAAAUGUUAGAACCCUUUUCGUUUCUGUAGGCGUUGGAGCUGCUCAUGCAUUAGUCGGGGUAAACAAGCCAGAAUUGCUUCCAAAAGAGUUCAGUCCUGUCAUUGAUGUAGCUGGCUUCCUCUCUGAUGGCCAGGUGCGCUUAAUUAUAUGAACCGUGUACUAUUGUUUUAUGUUUGAGUAAUGGUAUGAAAUUCAAGAAUUAAGCUUUAUGUAUAUUGUAUAGUAUAAUAAUGUAUGUGAAUUUUCAGGAGAAAAGGCUAGCUCAAGAGAUUGCUAAUAUAGAGAAGGAUACUGGAUUCAAGUUGAGGGUUCUUGCUCAGAACUACCCUGACACACCAGGUGUGCAUAGUGUUAAUUAAUACGGAGUUUGGUAGUGACAUUUCGCUUUGUUUUACGGUUUUUGGGUGAGAUUGUUACAAUGUUUCCAUAUUGUGUAGGUUUGGCGAUCAAAGAUUUCUGGCAAGUGGAUGAUAGAACUAUUGUCUUUGUUGCUGAUCCCACUUUUGGUAAUGAUUCAUACAUGCAAAUGUUAUGUGUGCUUAUUUUACUACCUCUGAAAUAGAUCAUUUAUGCUGAUGGUUUUUGAGCAGGCAAUAUACUAAACUUCAAUGUGGGAGCUUUGAUUGAUCUAGAUGUUCCACGUAGCUUUUGGAGUCGUCUGGCUGGGAAGUAUGGGAAUAUGUUUUAUUGGAAAGAGAAGGUGAAGUUUUAUCAUCCCUUGUAGUUAUAUUUUUUUUAUGAGUUAUGGCAUUGCAUUGUGCACAGUUUCUUAGAAAAGAGUAUGAUUUUAUCUGCUGAAUGGAACAGGGGGAAGAUGUAUCAAUUGAAGCAGCUGUAACAGCAAUAUCUAGCUGUUUGAGAGAACCUGUAGGCUCUGAUAAUUGCUCCGAGGUAAGAUAAUACAAGAGAACCCUGUCAAUUUGUAAAGAGGAUAUGCUCCAUCUUGUUAAAUAUGUAUCGAGUACUUUUGAGAAAUAUAGAAAGAUUGUUACAUUGGUUUUAAUUGUCUCAAUUUGGUCUCGCCCCAAGAAGCAGUGUAGAAAAAGAAUGAUGCUUUUUGUUCCUCUGUUGAGAAUGACCUCAACCUUUUCAAAUUGUGAUGUGCAAUGCUUGGUUUACUCCCUUCUAUUUUUGAAAGGAUGUCAAUGGUCUGGUCUCUGGACUUUUUACAAAGAAGCUAGUUAGAUUGUUUAGAGUUGAUGAUAGAUGAGCCAUGGUUGUUCACUAAAUAUAAAUUCAUAAGAUGGAGCCUCUGGUAAGGACACUCGAUGAGCAGCUAGCAAAGAAGAAAUGUCUAGAGAAUCUGCUUCAACCAGUAUACUUUGAAAUCAUGUGCUGGUACAGAUUGCUUCACAAGAAUCCAAGCAUCCCUUCUGAGCAAUGGCUGAUUUCUCCAUGCUCUCGACAUACUAUUUCGAGAAAGUUGAGUUAUGGUUACAACACAGGAAUAGCUGCAGAGUUGGGGAAAGAUGACCAUAUUGACUGAAUAUCAUAAAUUCAUAAGCUGGAGCCUGCAGUGGAGCCUCUGGUAAGUAUGACACUCGAUGAGUAGCUAACAAAGGAAAUGUCAAGAGAAUCUACAUAGUUGGCAAUACAGUGAAAUUAUAUGCGAGAACACAUUUCUGAGUAUGUUUGGAAUAAUCUAACCAGCCCUUCUGGUAGACUGGCCAGCCGAUCUCUCCAUGUUCUCUACAUACUAUUCCAGAACGUUAGCUAUGUUAAACCUCCAGAAGCCAUGGAUGACAAGAACAGAGAUGUUAUUCCAGAUAGUGAACUGGCUGAUGGGAUGGCAGCAUGAUGAUGCCAUGGCUAACCUCAGAGGCAAGAUAAUACGAGGGUUUGUUGAUGCCUGGCUGCUGGCUCCUGCUGUAUAAGCUAUACAGUAUAACUAAUAGGUAAAAUAUUGUUUCUUCCACACCGGAAACUAGUUUGGCUCAUUCCAUGUCAGUUUCAAGUGGGCAUGGAAACUUGUAUAUGGGAAAGUGUCAUCCUACCUGAUUCCACCAUGAGCUCUUGAAUGUGUCGAGGUAUCUUUAGUCUUUACUCUACACCCCAUUAUUACACAUUAACACCUAUAUGGAAAGAUUGUAGCUGUAAAUUAUGUUAAAAUCUGCCCAGACACUAUUCACUAUUUAGGAACUUAGAAUAGAAUACGAUUGCAUUUGCCGGAUGGAACAACGGGAAGAUCCAGAUAUUAUCCAACUUCAAAAAGAAUAUGUCCUCAGUUAAUGGCAUGUUAACAUGAACUGACAGAGCCUAUGACUUCCUUGGUUUUUACUCUGCAGAGCUUGCUUUGUAUCUUCUGAAUGACCUCGCGAUCGUUCAACUCUUUGGGCGAAACAUCUAGCCCCUCUAGCCACUUAUCACUUGCAGGAAGUUUCAAUUUCAGAAUGGAAGCAGCCACAGCGACUGAACCAACUGCAAUGUACUGUGGCUUGUACUGCAAGCACAACAAUGUUCUUAGCAACUCCUCCACAAGACUCCAUGCUACAUUUGUAACCUCAGGGAGCCUAAACCAGUUAUUUUUUCUUCACUCAAUCUCCUGAGAGCAGCAAUCAGAGUCUUGUAAGGAAGCUGCACGUCGAGAUCGAACUGCAUUGUUUUUAGCACAAGUCUCUUCGCAGCUAUGAUCAAUUUUCUCUUUUGGUCUUUAAAAACACGCCCUUUUUCUCUGCAGAACUCAUCUCUUUCUCUCAUAUCAAGAGGAUUGAUAGUCGAGCGCACCAUCUGGUUGACGAUGUGAUGCUGGAUCUCAUUACCAAAUGCCACAUUCACCACGUCCUUCAGACGGCGCUGGGAAUCCUCCACUUUGCCGGCGAGGAAAAUGCAGGCAGUAGCGACGGUGUACCAGUCGUUCUUGGCGAAAGAUUGACGUGCGAAGAAGCGGUGGCAGAACAUGGUGGCCUUGACUAUGGUGAGGUGAUGAAGUCUGAGCUUGGAGCCGAGCUGGCGAAGAUAGGAGCAGUAUGUGAGCACAACUGUGACUCUUUGCUCAGAGAGGUCAUAACUCCGCGAUGGAGAGUGGAGUUCCAAUGCUUGUCUCGAGAAACACCACUGAUUCAUGGUAUCUGGUUUUGUUGCUAUUGUUAUAAUUGGAAAUAUUUGAGAGUGAAGUGUUGGGGUACUAAAGGUUUAGAAGAAUAUAGGAUUUCCGUGUUCAGUUUGGAAUUCUAGCAUUUCGGUCUUGAUGUAGGAAUGUAGGAUUACGGUUCCCGUUUAAAUUAGGAAUAAGGAGGGGAGUAAGUCUGGGCUGGAUUGUUCUCUUUCUGAUAUGUUUCUUCAAUUUUUUCUUUGAGAAAUUCAUCUGAACGAUAUCUCAACUUUGGCUCCUUAUAAGCUUUGGUAUAUCAACUUUCAAAAAUAUCAUAUUGGUACUUCAAGUUUGGAUCCUGAUCAAACAUCGGUAUCUAUAGUCGUUAAAUCAGUAACGAUGUUAACAACGUGACUUAUUUGAAAGGUGAUUUUGUCAUUCAUGUCUUAAUCCAUUUUUUAUAUUAUUUUUUUUUAUUGUAUCUAGGCUGCAAUUCAUCUCCGUGUUCUGUUUGUUUUUUUUUUGGUCAAAUUGUCUGUAUGUUCUUUCAACAACCCCAAAACCCAGCCUCAAACCCAAACACCUACUGUAUCUUGAAGUCUAUUCUUUUCUGGAUUAUUUUUCAUCCCAAUUCAAAUAUAAAACCCCUUAAAUUAUUACCCUCCCAGAGAUCAUAUCCCAACCUCAACCCCAAGUCCCCAACCCCAAACCCAAAUCGGCAAAAAUGCUAGUCUUCCAAAUUAUCAAGUUCUGGUUUCUUAGCCAUCUCCUUGAGGGGUACUAAGAAAAUCCCGAUUUCCGGUGAGUAUAUGCUCCUUCCAUAACCCUCCGGUCGAGUCAAAAGCCAUCUCCAUCUGCACUGACUAUAAUAUAUCGUUUGUUUCUACAAUAUCUUGCUCCCCGACUAUAUUUAUGUCAGGUUUUCUAUUCAGCUUUUAUGAAGUCAUUUGGCAGAAGAAACAAAUGAAAUUGAGUUUUUUCUCGAUAACAACAAACGGAAUGGAGUUGGAUCAGAAAGCUUGCAAAAGAGAGUAUAAACUUUGAAGAAGAUAAACAAAACGAGGACAAAAGUACCCUUGAAAAUAUGCUAUGAAAACAUGCUAUGCAGCAGACGCCGUUACUCACUUAACGACUAUAGGUACCGAUGUUUGGUCGGGAUUUAAACUUGGAGUACUAAUCUAAUAUUUCUGAAAGUUGAUAUACCAAAAUUUAUAAAAAGUCAAAGUUGAGAUACCGUUUAGACGAAUUUCUUUUUUUCUUUUUAAUAAAACAAAGGAUUAGCCUUAGAUCCGGCAUCCCUAUUGAAUCUCUUUCUUUUAACAAACUACAUAUACCCCUUCUAAAAAAAAAUUUGAAACACAAAUACAUCCAUUUACAUUGUUUUUAAACUACUAAAGAAAUUUUUUUAACAAAUAAGGACGAAUUGUUUUCUACUUGCUUGUCAUUUGUUAUGAUUUAAUUUACCAAAUUGACAUUAGACAAAUUAGAUCAGACUUUGUCAUGUCUUGGUUUAAUUGUUAUUGCACUUGUUGGAAUGUUGUUGCUACUGCCGAUUGGAAUGUUGCUGCUACUAUUGAUUGGAAUGUUGUUGCUACUGCCAACUGGAAUGUUGAUGCUCCUGUCGAUUGGAAUGUUGUUGCUGCUAUUACCAAUUGGAAGUUUUUAGCUACUGUCGAUUGGAAUGAUGUUGUUACUACUGAAGUUGUUACAAUGAUGUUGCUACUACCGAUUGGAAUGUUGUUGCUACUGGCGAUUGAAAUAUUGCUUCUACUGCUGAAGCUGUUAUGAUGAUGCUACUACUAAAGCUGUUACAAUGAUGUUGCUACUACCGAUUGGAAUGAUGUUGCUACUAUUGAACUUGUUACAAUUAGCACAUAUCAAAACACAAUAAAAUACUAAAAUACAGUAUUGCAAUGAUGUCAAUAGAAAAGAAAUAUCAACCAUCGUUUUGAAUCAUGAGCCACCACCACAACCUAGUCUCUGCUACUGUUAUCGUCGAUGUUAUUGAGGGAGAAAUCGGAGGACGUCGUCGAUGUCACUGAGGAGAACUACGUUAUCACUCGGUUGGACUUUGCGGUAGAUCUCAGAGAGAGAGAGAGAGAGAGAGAGAGAGAGAUCAGAUCGGGAUGGAGAGAAAACUUAGGGAGUGACAUAAAGUGUAAUUUUGUUGGAAAACGAAGUAUUAUCGUUAUUUUACAUUUAAAUUUUUGAUUAGGUCAUCUAUUAUUUGGUUAUGGGUCUUGGCUCAUGUCUUUUUUUGCCUAAAUCUUUUGAAAUGUGGGUUUUAUGUGAUAUGUUACUCUUUGUGGUAGUGGGAGAUCAUUUUCUCAAAAGAAAACCUCAGUUGAAACCCUAGAACCCCUUAUUUGACAGAGCAAAAGAAAACCCCAGCGCAAUAUUCACUUUAUCGACACCAAUAAUGAGAAAACAAUUGGAUAAAAAUUCUUAAAUUAAACACAUCAUUUCGGUCUGCUAAUGAUAAAUAACAACAAAUAGAAAAGGAAAAGAGAAAGUGAAUAUUGCGCUGGGGUUUUCUUUCACUCCGCAAAACAAAGGGUUCCAAGGUUUCAACUCUGAGGUUUUCUUUCCGUCCGACGACACGUCAAUUGACGCCGUCGUCGGACGAGAGUUGUUGAAUGGUCAUUGCGUGGCUGCGGCUUGCUGGUUGGUGGUGGUGGACCGAAAGAUUCAUAUAUUAAAGGAAGGUGUCCGAGUGGAGCAGCGGCGACGAGGUCUAUUGGUUGCUGAACAGGCUAGUCCGCCAUGAAUAUCGAUUGUUGAGGAGCAAGGCUGCGUUGAUGAACUAGAAUGACGAGACGGUGGGGCGGGGAAGAUCUACUCGGAUUGAAUCUCACAAUCUGGGUUGGUCACAAUCUGGGUUGGUUUUCCUUUGCCCUUUGUUGCAGUUCCUUGUGGAAGAUGGUCGACUCCAUGCGUUGUGAUGGGGCUUCUUUGGUGGCGAUCGAGGUUGAUGUCGGGCGACGAUCGGCAAUCGGUGCUCAUCCAGGUUGUUUUUUGGGCCGCGUCUUUGGAUGCUUGCUCUUUGGUCCAGUGGGUAUGGUUUCGGCCUGGGCCCUUUCUGGGUCUGGGUCUAGGUCUAGGGUUUUUUUGGUUUUAUUUUUAGAUUUUUUAUUGGUUUUGUUUUCGGUUGGUUAGUUGUCCCUCCUCUUUGAGCCAGGGUUUUGGCCUCCUCUUUGAGUGAGGGUUUAGGGUUUUGGUAGGUUUGGGGUUGUGUCAUGGGGUGUGUUAUGGUUAUGGUGUCGUUUAUAGAGAUUAUUUUAACGUCGGUUAGUUCUUGUUGUCAAUAUAAUGGAGAGGUUACUUGUGCAUAUAUGUNNN
rnacentral:lncRNA from 1 species